UGCAGAGCGAAAAAGCCUACUAUCGCCGGACAGCAGGUUUUUUAAUGCAGGAAGACCGGUCGCUACCCCGG
ncrna:unclassified sequences Type-P5 twister ribozyme ribozyme sequence